CUGGCUCAGGAUGAACGCUGGCGGCGUGCCUAACACAUGCAAGUCGAGCGAUUACUUCGGUAAAGAGCGGCGGACGGGUGAGUAACGCGUGGGUAACCUGCCUCAUACACAUGGAUAACAUACCGAAAGGUAUGCUAAUACAGGAUAAUAUAAGAGAUUCACAUGGAUUUCUUAUCAAAGCUCCGGCGGUAUGAGAUGGACCCGCGUCUGAUUAGCUAGUUGGUAAGGUAGUGGCUUACCAAGGCGACGAUCAGUAGCCGACCUGAGAGGGUGAUCGGCCACAUUGGAACUGAGACACGGUCCAAACUCCUACGGGAGGCAGCAGUGGGGAAUAUUGCACAAUGGGCGAAAGCCUGAUGCAGCAACGCCGCGUGAGUGAUGAAGGCCUUCGGGUCGUAAAACUCUGUCCUCAAGGAAGAUAAUGACGGUACUUGAGGAGGAAGCCCCGGCUAACUACGUGCCAGCCGCCGC
rnacentral:rRNA from 1 species